rnacentral:rRNA from 1 species
AUUUAGAGGAAGUAAAAGUCGUAACAAGGUUUCCGUAGGUGAACCUGCGGAAGGAUCAUUACUAAGUAUAGGAGGGCCCUGGUCGGAAUCGCAAUUCCUCGGGGCCCAACCUCAAAUCUCUCUCUGCGUACGUCUCCCUGUUGCUUCCCCCGGGAGGGUGACAUGCCGCCCGGGGAAGGACCAUCCCUCCCGAGAGCACACGAUGCCAACAAACGCACCUGUAGAACUCACCACCCAAGCCGUCUGAUGGCCGGCGCACCGAUCGGGGCGCAGAGAGCCAGGACGUGAACUGCAAAUGAAUAGAAAAAACUUUCAACAACGGAUCUCUUGGUUCCCGCAUCGAUGAAGAACGCAGCGAAAUGCGAUAAGUAAUGUGAAUUGCAGAAUUCAGUGAAUCAUCGAAUCUUUGAACGCACAUUGCGCCCCCUGGCAUUCCGGGGGGCAUGCCUGUUCGAGCGUGUCCGAGAAGUAGGCUCACGCAGGGAAAUGCGUGGUGGUGUUGGCGGCGGCGGUCCCGACAGGGCGGCCACCCCGGCGGAAUCGAUGGGCGGAUGCCUGCCGCUUGGCAGAGCGUGAUAUUCUUUGCUAUCGCCUCGAGGGCGGCGAGGUGUCCAGCCCAUGCAUCCAUGCACGGCGGGGAGAAUGUGACGUUGGAACUCCUCGAAUCAGGUAGGGAUACCCGCUGAACUUAAGCAUAUCAAUAAGCGGAGGAAAAGAAACCAACAGGGAUUGCCCCAGUAACGGCGAGUGAAGCGGCAGCAGCUCAAAUUUGAA